rnacentral:rRNA from 1 species
UACGUAGGGGGCUAGCGUUGUCCGGAAUCAUUGGGCGUAAAGAGCGUGUAGGCUGCUCGGUAAGUCCGCUGUAAAAGUCAAAGGCUCAACCUUUGAAUGUCAGUGGAUACUGCCGGGCUAGAGUCCGGAAGAGGCGAGUGGAACUCCUGGUGUAGCGGUGGAAUGCGCAGAUAUCAGGAGGAACACCCGUAGCGAAGGCGGCACUCUGGGCCGAUUCUGACACUGAGGAGCGAAAGCGUGGGGAGCGAACAGG